rnacentral:rRNA from 1 species
UACGUAGGCAGCGAGCGUUGUUCGGAAUUACUGGGCGUAAAGAGUGUGUAGGCGGUGUUCCCAGUCUGUUGUGAAAUCUUCCGGCUUAACUGGGAGGGUGCAGCGGAAACUAGAAUGCUAGAGGGUGGGAGAGGUAAGCGGAAUUCCUGGUGUAGCGGUGAAAUGCGUAGAUAUCAGGAGGAACACCUGUGGUGUAGACAGCUUACUGGACCACUUCUGACGCUGAGACACGAAAGCGUGGGUAGCAAACAGG